UUUAUCUUGUCACGAUCUCUGCUUGCACACUUUCAGAAAAAAAAGGUACAGUUCUGUUGCUGGGGCAGUACCCUAAGGUACAAAAGGGAAAAGGUACAUCUUUGUACUUUAUUUACCCCUAAACGGUACACAUUGGUACCUUAAAGACACAUAUUAAAUUAUAUUAUGCACUUUAAAAGUACAUAUUUGUACCUUUUCACUUUUUUACCUGAGGGUACCAUCCCAGCAACAGAACUGUACUUUUUCUGACAGUGCAAAAAGCACAGACCCAGCACAGCAAAUGUGAUUCUCCAUGUGGGCUUUGGAGAAAAGGAGGGGCACUGCAGAACACUUCCUUAUCAAACCACAGAUCUGAGUUCCUUUCUAGCAUCACGUCCAAAAGCACUGGUGCAGACUCAGAUUGUCUCAGACAUCUGUAACAACUCAUUAUUAAAGCUUCAAGAUCAGCUUCAGAUCAGAAACCAUGAGGGCAUCUACUCUUUGUCUGGUGUUUGGGCUGGUCCUGCUGAUGACGUGGACUUCUCAGGCUCAUCGUAAGUUCUCUUAAAGUUCUUUUAAUACUAAAUUAUUAUGUAUAUAAUAUAUAAAGUUGACCAAAUUUAAAGAGAUUUAAAAUGGAUCAAAUUAGAAACAAAAUCAUUUUACAUCCAGGUACCAUAGUAGAGGCUUUGCAUGUUACUCAAUGAACUUUGUAAUCCUCAGUAAGCAACCAAACAUAUAUUGAAAAAUCUUGAAGGAACCCAGAAACAAACCAAUAUGCUAAUUAACCAGCCAGAUAGGGUUAGAUAAGAAGAAUGGUCCUUCACAAAGCCUAAAGUCCUAGAAAAGACCUUUAUUUUGAAAAAUGAGUAAUAUCUGCACAUAUUAAUAUUUAACAUAUUUUAUACAGUGUUGGAUAUGGUCAGUUAGAAACCAUAUAGAAAUUUUAACAAUACAUUUUAUUUCACCAACAGCUAUGCAUGCUGCAGUUCCUGAGAGGUGCUGCUUCAGUUAUAUUGGUUUUAAGAUUCCAGACAAUAAAAUUGUGAGUGCUGAGAAGACAGGUUUACAUUGCCCUGUCACUGGUAUUGUGAUUACGACACAAAAAGGUUUAGAAUUUUGUGUGAAACCAGACGAGCCUUGGAUAAAGAAAGUGAUGGAGCAUCUUGAAAAAACAAAAGCAGUUUGAAAAAAGCACAACACAAUAAUAGUGAACAAAAACAAGUGAACAAACUAAUAUCGUUAUUGCUUUACACAACUGUCCUUUCUUAAUGAAUGUAGUUUUGCAUCUCCUGAUUAAUAUUUCAAACAUCUGAAUGUUAAACUGUCUUCAUUUUCCGCUCAAUCUAUGCAAAUAAAUAUUAAAAUGCACUGAGA